rnacentral:lncRNA from 1 species
AGGGGUCAACAUCUACUAAAUUUUAAUUAGGCAUGGAUUAAUACAGGUUGCUGGUUGGUUAUUUUUGGACUAAGAAAGGGUGAUAAAAUUUUCACCUUAUCUUGUUAAUGAAUGUUGCCCUUAAAUUAUUUUGAUAUGAAUAUGCACAAUCAAUUUCAAAUAAGCUGUUGUAUGCCACUAAUUUAGAUGCAUGACACUACUUGACUU